AUUAUGUCAAUGACGGAAGCUGGGCUAUUCUUCCAUUGGCUUAAAACUGAUGAGCCAAACUCCACUGUUUGUUAUCGAGCUCCUACCAAGAUCACAGUCAAGACUUCUCUCUCUCUCAGCAAUAUAUGGGGAAUGUUCGUGAUCCUCGCUGCUGGCCACUUUGUCAGUCUAUCUGUAUUGUGUCUUGAGCUUCUGAACAUUCGUCUUCAAUAACUUGGGAACCAUACGUUAUCCACUUUUUGUUUGUGUUUACUGAACAGAGAACCAUUUUCGUGUCGUUGGGGUGGAAGUACGUGGAUGACUGCACUGUGGGGGUUACAGUGGACAACACCUC